rnacentral:sRNA from 1 species
GCAUGUGAGGUCUCUGGCUACAGCUGUCCCCUGCUGAGCGCCAACAGUACUUGUGCUGACCUGGCUGGCAUGGUGGGUGUCCCCUUUCUCACCACUCCAGUGCUGCCCACCUGAAGCUGGGUUGCAGAAGACGACCUUCCUCAACACAGGGCUGUUUCAGUCAGGCAUGUGCAGUAGCUGUGUUCCUCCACUUUGGUGACUUGAGUUGGCCCGGUUAUGACCAGGGCUGCCAUCUU